ACAUCCCUGCUCGAGCCUUUGAUAAUUUCCAGUUUGUGAACUUCACGGAAAUAAUGUCAAAAAAUGUGAACGAAUCCAGAAAAGAGACGGAGUUUGCUCUAGCAGCAUUGAUGGAAAUACCUGCUCAAUACAAAGCAACUAUUGAGCUUGGCAUAUUGGGUCGACGGACAGGGAAUGCUUCAGAGAGGGUUCCUCUACCCCCACCUCUUCAUGGACCAUCUUCUUUCAGCAACAGUGUAAAACCUUCCCACUCAAGCAGCUUUCAGCAACGUGCACCUUCAUAUUCUGGAUAUGAUUCAUCAAUACCUUCCUAUUCUGGAUAUGACUCACCAGUUGCUGGAUAUGAUACGCCAGCAAACACAGCUUCAUAUUCAAGUUCUACUUAUGAUAACCAGGUUUGUCCCAUUUGUCUUACUAAUAAAAAGGACAUGGCCUUCGGUUGUGGGCAUCAGACUUGUUGCGAGUGUGGAGAAGACCUACAAUCAUGCCCCAUAUGUCGAAGCCCAAUACAGACUAGAAUCAGGCUGUAUUGAUUACCUUCAAUGCACAUCUCUGAGAUUGGUCUCUGCCACCAAUGAGUUUGGUUCGGUGAAAACUGAUUCAAACGCCCAUUUUCCGAAGGCAGGGACAGGAGUGUGGCUCAUAUCUCGGUAGAUGUAUUCUUUGGCAUGAGACAAAGGGAAAAUCAAGCUGCAAGGGAAGUGCAUAACUAUUGGGGCCUGGUAAAUAUUUGCAACAAGAGUUUGAUUCUAUAAUGUCCUGCCAAAUAUGGUCAUUCUUCCUCAUCAAAGCUUCUCCUUCACUAUAUGAUUAUAGCAGAAUCUAGCUGUUGAAAGGCUCUUUAGAUUGUUGGUUGAUUUGGGUUUUAGGGCAGAUAGAUGAAUAAGGACUCGAGUCCACAUUAUUAUUUUGUUUGUUUUAAUCUCUAGUCAUUUGUGAUUUUUUUUUUUUUUUUUGAGAAACAUUUGUGAUUGAGAAAAAGAUAUCUGUAGUUUUGUCCUUCUGGUUGAGGAGAAAUGUAUAUGAAGUUUUUAUUUUGUUAAUUUUCUUGUGUGGCAGCUCUUUG
rnacentral:misc_RNA from 1 species